rnacentral:rRNA from 1 species
GUGGGGAAUAUUGGGCAAUGGGCGCAAGCCUGACCCAGCAACGCCGCGUGAAGGAAGAAGGCUUUCGGGUUGUAAACUUCUUUUAAGGGGGACGAACAAAUGACGGUACCCCUUGAAUAAGCCACGGCUAACUACGUGCCAGCAGCCGCGGUAAUACGUAGGUGGCAAGCGUUAUCCGGAUUUAUUGGGUGUAAAGGGCGUGUAGGCGGGAGCGCAAGUCAGAUGUGAAAACUCAGGGCUCAACCCUGAGCCUGCAUUUGAAACUGUGUUUCUUGAGUGCUGGAGAGGCAAUCGGAAUUCCGUGUGUAGCGGUGAAAUGCGUAGAUAUACGGAGGAACACCAGUGGCGAAGGCGGAUUGCUGGACAGUAACUGACGCUGAGGCGCGAAAGCGUGGGGAGCAAACAGG